rnacentral:rRNA from 1 species
GACGAACGCUGGCGGCGUGCCUAAUACAUGCAAGUAGAACGCUGAAGGAGGAGCUUGCUCUUCUGGAUGAGUUGCGAACGGGUGAGUAACGCGUAGGUAACCUGCCUGGUAGCGGGGGAUAACUAUUGGAAACGAUAGCUAAUACCGCAUAACAGUAGAUGUUGCAUGACAUUUACUUAAAAGGUGCAAUUGCAUCACUACCAGAUGGACCUGCGUUGUAUUAGCUAGUUGGUGGGGUAACGGCUCACCAAGGCGACGAUACAUAGCCGGCCUGAGAGGGUGGUCGGCCAAACUGGGACUGAGACACGGCCCAGACUCCUACGGGAGGCAGCAGUAGGGGAUCUUCGGCAAUGGACGGAAGUCUGACCGAGCAACGCCGCGUGGGUGGAGAAGGUUUUCGGGUCGUAAAGCUCUGUUGUAAGGGAAGGACGAGUGUGAGAGUGGAAAGUUCACACUGUGACGGUAUCUUACCAGAAAGGGACGGCUAACUACGUG